rnacentral:rRNA from 1 species
AGAGUUUGAUCCUGGCUCAGGACGAACGCUGGCGGCGUGCUUAACACAUGCAAGUCGAACGCUGAAGCUCAGCUUUUGUUGGGUGGAUGAGUGGCGAACGGGUGAGUAACACGUGAGUAACCUGCCCCCUUCUUUGGGAUAACGCCCGGAAACGGGUGCUAAUACUGGAUAUUCACUGGCCUUCGCAUGGGGGUUGGUGGAAAGGGUUUUUUCUGGUGGGGGAUGGGCUCGCGGCCUAUCAGCUUGUUGGUGGGGUGAUGGCCUACCAAGGCUUUGACGGGUAGCCGGCCUGAGAGGGUGACCGGUCACAUUGGGACUGAGAUACGGCCCAGACUCCUACGGGAGGCAGCAGUGGGGAAUAUUGCACAAUGGGCGCAAGCCUGAUGCAGCGACGCCGCGUGAGGGAUGAAGGCCUUCGGGUUGUAAACCUCUUUCGCUCAUGGUCAAGCCGCAGCUUUGGGUUGUGGUGAGGGUAGUGGGUAAAGAAGCGCCGGCUAACUACGUGCCAGCAGCCGCGGUAAUACGUAGGGCGCGAGCGUUGUCCGGAAUUAUUGGGCGUAAAGGGCUUGUAGGCGGUUGGUCGCGUCUGCCGUGAAAUCCUCUGGCUUAACUGGGGGCGUGCGGUGGGUACGGGCUGACUUGAGUGCGGUAGGGGAGACUGGAACUCCUGGUGUAGCGGUGGAAUGCGCAGAUAUCAGGAAGAACACCGAUGGCGAAGGCAGGUUACUGGGCCGUUACUGACGCUGAGGAGCGAAAGCGUGGGGAGCGAACAGGAUUAGAUACCCUGGUAGUCCACGC